UACGGGGGGGGCAAGCGUUGUUCGGAAUUACUGGGCGUAAAGGGCGCGUAGGCGGCGCGGUAAGUCACUUGAGAAAUCUCUGAGCUUAACUCAGAACGGCCAAGUGAUACUGCAGUGCUAGAGUGUGGAAGGGGCAAUCGGAAUUCUUGGUGUAGCGGUGAAAUGCGUAGAUAUCAAGAGGAACACCUGAGGUGAAGACGGGUUGCUGGGCCAACACUGACGCUGAGGCGCGAAAGCCAGGGGAGCAAACGGG
rnacentral:rRNA from 1 species